rnacentral:tRNA from 1 species
GCGCCCGUAGCUCAGCUGGAUAGAGCAGCGGACUUCUAAUCCGCAGGCCUCGCGUUCGAAUCGCGACGGGCGUA